rnacentral:rRNA from 1 species
GGGAGCUUGCUCCUGAGUAUUAUUGGCGAACGGGUGAGUAACACGUGAGUAACCUGCCCUUGACUCUGGGAUAAGCCUGGGAAACUGGGUCUAAUACCGGAUAUGACCUUCCAUCGCAUGGUGGUUGGUGGAAAGCUUUUGUGGUUUUGGAUGGACUCGCGGCCUAUCAGCUUGUUGGUGGGGUAAUGGCCUACCAAGGCGACGACGGGUAGCCGGCCUGAGAGGGUGACCGGCCACACUGGGACUGAGACACGGCCCAGACUCCUACGGGAGGCAGCAGUGGGGAAUAUUGCACAAUGGGCGCAAGCCUGAUGCAGCGACGCCGCGUGAGGGAUGACGGCCUUCGGGUUGUAAACCUCUUUCAGUAGGGAAGAAGCCGCAAGGUGACGGUACCUGCAAAAGAAGCGCCGGCUAACUACGUGCCAGCAGCCGCGGUAAUACGUAGGGCGCAAGCGUUAUCCGGAAUUAUUGGGCGUAAAGAGCUCGUAGGCGGUUUGUCGCGUCUGCCGUGAAAGUCCGGGGCUCAACUCCGGAUCUGCGGUGGGUACGGGCAGACUAGAGUGAUGUAGGGGAGACUGGAAUUCCUGGUGUAGCGGUGAAAUGCGCAUAUAUCAGGAGGAACACCGAUGGCGAAGGCAGGUCUCUGGGCAUUAACUGACGCUGAGAGCGAAAGCAUGGGGAGCGAACAGGAUUAUAUACCCUGGUAGUCCAUGCCGUAAACGUUGGCACUAGGUGUGGGGGGACAUUCCACGUUUUCCGCGCCGUAUCUAACGCAUUAAGUGCCCCGCCUGGGGAGUAC